CAGCUGGACGUCAAAGCUAGCCAGAUGUUUUCCUGCUUUCUAAGGAAAUGUUCAACAGGAUUUUAUAAUGUUGGUUUGUGAAAGAAGCCUCCUGGGUCCGGGUAGAGGUCCGGGUACAGGUCCAGGUACAAAUCUAGGCAGAGGCCCCAAUAGAUGGUCUCGGUAGAGGUCCUGUAGAGGCCCUGGUAAAGGUCCCCGCAGAAGUCCAGGUACAGGUCCGGGUAGAGGUUCAUGUACAGGUCCGGCUAGAGGUACAGGUCCAGGUACAAGUACAGGCAAAGGUCCCGGUAGAGGUCCGGUUAGAGGUUCCGGUAGAAAUCCAGGUCCGGGUACAGGUCCAGGUAGAGGUUCUGGUAGAGGUCCAUUUACAGGUCCAGGUAAAGGUCCUGGUGGAGGUCCAGGUAGAGGUCCAGGUAGAGGUCCAGUUACAGGUACCGGGAGAGAUUUGGGUCAAGGUCCAGGUACAGGUCCUGGCAGAGGUCCGGGUACAGGUCCAGGUAGAGGUCCAUUUACAGGUCCUGGUACAGGUCCUGGUAGAGGUCCUGCUGCCUUGCAUCUGGUUUCUGAGAGAAAUCUGCAGUUCAUGCAGGAUUCAGUUUUUCUGCACACAGCAGAGGAGAUUCAGUUUGUUUUGGUUUGAUUUUCUUGUGUUUGCAUCAAAAGAUAGAAAUCAAUAAAACUUGAGUCUAGACGUGAUUUUACACAUGUAUGGUGAUGGGGAAUCAAUGCAGAAUAAUCCUGAUUCUUCCUCUGACAAAAAUCGUAGGAAGUAAAUCUCUGAGGUGACGGCAUGAGGACCCGAGGUGUGUUUAUUUCCGGACCGUCGGCUGAAACCACGGCGUUAACUGGGCAGGGGGUCAGCU